rnacentral:rRNA from 1 species
UACGGGGGGGGCAAGCGUUGUUCGGAAUUACUGGGCGUAAAGGGCUCGUAGGCGGCCAACUAAGUCCGACGUGAAAUCCCCAGGCUUAACCUGGGAACUGCGUCGGAUACUGGAUGGCUUGAAUUCGGGAGAGGGAUGCAGAAUUCCAGGUGUAGCGGUGAAAUGCGUAGAUAUCGAGAGGAACAUCAGUGGCGAAGGCGGCUGCCUGGCCCAAUACUGACACUCAGGUGCGACAGCGUGGGGAGCAAACAGG